rnacentral:lncRNA from 1 species
CGGAUUAUAUAAUGAUAGAAUUUACUAUUUAGUGAUCCGGUAUAAGUAUAUACCUUUGAUUCGGUAGAUUUUUUAUUAUUUUCAUAUCGAAAACCCCAUCCCUCUUAGCCUCACUUUCCCAAUUUUCAUGGGACAUGUUGACGCCACCAAGAGAGUUUAGACAGUCUCACUUUUCCGAAAGUAAUUUUCGUUUAUAUGCUACGCUCACGGACAAGUUUUGGGGUAUAUAGAAAAAUUCGAACGAGCGGUUAUUUGCCGAAUUGUAAUUUGAACAUAAGAUCUUACUAUCGUUGGUGGGUAUUGGACUGGAGUUGCAUUUCCCAGGAAGUUUUGUAAAUCCAAUAUGCUAAUCUCCUAGUUAUUUUUUAAAAAUUCCAUCAUGGAAUGCUGUGAAACGGAUGGGUGGUUUGGUUUGAGACGUUGAGGCGGGGACCAAUCUGUAACAGGCAUGCUCGUAAAUCAAGCGUGAUGUGAAAUCGAUGGUAAGAAAUCGACAUGACAGAUUAGACGGUGGUUAGUGAUUAGCGGUUAUUGUUUUGACGCCGUAGAUGAAAGAGAAUCGAUGGAUGGAUUACAUGAUAAGAAAUCAUGUCAAUUAAAGAAAGAGUGGAAUGAUGAUUCUUAUCCAGUUUCAUAUGUCUCUUCAGAUUGUUGUAAGAUUGUUGUAAGAUAUCAAUUUGAUUUGCACCAAACUCUCUUCUCUCACGCCUUCGAUCUUGCAAUUUGUGGAAGUGGUGAUUCUUGAUUUAUUCUCUCUAGUGGGCUUCACCACGUCACGUCAACCAUCAAUAAAAAUCAGGGACUAUUUAGGUAAGUCUCGUGUAAAGAAGGUUAUGGACUAAGUUAUUAUAUUAAUAUCGUAUCCCGCACUAUUUAUUUCUUAUGCAUUAAGUUGG